rnacentral:rRNA from 1 species
GUGGGGAAUAUUGGACAAUGGGCGCAAGCCUGAUCCAGCCAUGCCGCGUGAGUGAUGAAGGCCCUAGGGUUGUAAAGCUCUUUCACCGGUGAAGAUAAUGACGGUAACCGGAGAAGAAGCCCCGGCUAACUUCGUGCCAGCAGCCGCGGUAAUACGAAGGGGGCUAGCGUUGUUCGGAAUUACUGGGCGUAAAGCGCACGUAGGCGGAUAUUUAAGUCAGGGGUGAAAUCCCAGAGCUCAACUCUGGAACUGCCUUUGAUACUGGGUAUCUUGAGUAUGGAAGAGGUGAGUGGAAUUCCGAGUGUAGAGGUGAAAUUCGUAGAUAUUCGGAGGAACACCAGUGGCGAAGGCGGCUCACUGGUCCAUUACUGACGCUGAGGUGCGAAAGCGUGGGGAGCAAACAGGAUUAGAAACCCCGGUAGUCC